rnacentral:rRNA from 1 species
GACGAACGCUGGCGGCGCGCUUAACACAUGCAAGUCGAGCGAUGAAAUUUCGACAGAUCCCUUCGGGGUGAAGAUGAAAUGGAUUAGCGGCGGACGGGUGAGUAACACGUGAGUAACAUGCCUUUGACAUUGGGAUAGCCUCGGGAAACUGGGAUUAAUACCAAAUGACACUAACUGAUCACAUGAUCAAUUAGUCAAAGAAAUUCGGUCAAAGAUGGACUCGCGGCUGAUUAGCUAGUUGGUGAGGUAACGGCCCACCAAGGCGACGAUCAGUAGCCGGCCUGAGAGGGUGAUCGGCCACAUUGGAACUGAGACACGGUCCAAACUCCUACGGGAGGCAGCAGUGGGGAAUAUUGCACAAUGGGGGAAACCCUGAUGCAGCGACGCCGCGUGAGCGAAGAAGGCCUUCGGGUCGUAAAGCUCUUUUAUGAGGGAAGAUAAUGACGGUACCUCAAGAAAAAGCCCCGGCUAACUACGUG